rnacentral:rRNA from 1 species
UACGUAGGGUGCAAGCGUUACUCGGAAUCACUGGGCGUAAAGCGCAUGUAGGCGGGUCUGUAAGUCAAACGUGAAAGCCCUAGGCUCAACCUGGGAAUGGCGUUCGAUACUGCAGAUCUUGAAUGCUCGAGAGGAUGGCAGAAUUCCUGGUGUAGAAGUGAAAUUCGUAGAUAUCAGGAGGAAUACCGGUGGUGAAGACGGCUGUCUGGUGAGACAUUGACGCUGAGGUGCGAAAGCGCGGGGAGCAAACAGG